AGGAUGAAGGCCCUCCGGGUUGUAAACUUCUUUUAUCUGGGACGAAACCCUCAUAUUCUUAUGAGACUGACGGUACCAGAGGAAUAAGCACCGGCUAACUCCGUGCCAGCAGCCGCGGUAAUACGGAGGGUGCAAGCGUUAUCCGGAUUCACUGGGUUUAAAGGGUGCGUAGGAGGGCAGGUAAGUCAGUGGUGAAAUCUCCAAGCUUAACUUGGAAACUGCCGUUGAUACUAUCUGUCUUGAAUAUUGUGGAGGUGAGCGGAAUAUGUCGUGUAGCGGUGAAAUGCUUAGAUAUGACAUAGAACACCAAUUGCGAAGGCAGCUCACUACACAAUUAUUGACUCUGAGGCACGAAAGCGUGGGGAUCAAACAGGAUUAGAUACCCUGGUGGUCCACGCCCUAAACUAUGGAUACUCGACAUACGCGAUAUACAGUGUGUGUCUGAGCGAAAGCAUUAAGUAUCCCACCUGGGAAGUACGACCGCAAGGUUG
rnacentral:rRNA from 1 species